rnacentral:rRNA from 1 species
UACGGAGGGGGCUAGCGUUAUUCGGAAUUACUGGGCGUAAAGCGCACGUAGGCGGCUUUGUAAGUCAGAGGUGAAAGCCCUGGAGCUCAACUCCAGAACUGCCUUUGAGACUGCAUCGCUUGAAUCCAGGAGAGGUGAGUGGAAUUCCGAGUGUAGAGGUGAAAUUCGUAGAUAUUCGGAAGAACACCAGUGGCGAAGGCGGCUCACUGGACUGGUAUUGACGCUGAGGUGCGAAAGCGUGGGGAGCAAACAGG